AAACUUCUACUGAUAAACCUGGGAUUCCAUUGGCUCCUUCCAUCAAGAAUUCCAAACCUGGAGUCAUUUUUGUCCUUGAAAAGGCUUCGCUGGUGCCAGCUUAUGUUUGGACGGUACAUACAUCAAGAUAACACCUACAUACGAGAUACUGAAUCCAGACAAGCAUGCUGAUUUUAUGCGCAAGAAAAACAUGAAUCCUUAUAAUUAUAGACCUGACAUUAUCCAUGAGGUUCUUGUUGAUAUAUUGGGUAGCCGGCUUAAUAUGGCAGUUUGAUUCUAUUAGUCUCCAUCCACAUUAGAUAAGCAUUCACCCUUGUGUGUUGGCACCUUCACCGUUCACGUACUACAGCCCAGUUGUUGCAGAAGUUUAGUAUCAAAGCAAGAGGUAAAGGUGAAAAACUAAUGAGAUUGAUUGAGAAUCCUUUGGACAAGCAUUUGCCACUGAACUCCCUUAAAAUAGGGCUUUCCUUCAGCUCAUCCAAGGCUGUCAAUUUGAGGGAUUAUGUUACUACCAUCAGCAACGAUUGUACUCUAGUAUUCAUAGUUUGGUCACUCUCCACAGAUUAAUUAAGCGAUCUUUCCUUUAUGUUUAGCCUCAUCUUUUCAGUAAAUGAGACCUUGAUUAUUGAAUUAUCCCAUCAGAUUGACGCCAUGGCUCAUGGGAAGAUCGAUACUGAACAUACUGAUGAUCUCAUAUCAGUUUCCUCACUUCCAUUAAGUGCUCGUGUUUGUGUGAGACAUGUAUGCUGCGAAUUGGAGAGGCAAUGGGAAAUUCUAUGAUUCGAGGUGUAAUUAUUACCAAUGUACAGCUUGCUCCAAGAAUUAUUCAGCGUAGUGCUGCUUAUCAAAAACCCACGACUCUAACUUGUCCAAAUUAACAUGAAUAUUAGUUUUCACCUUUCACGUUGUAAAGCUAAGAAUUAGUCUUCAACUAUCAUUCUGUAAAAGU